UACAGAGGUGGCAAGCGUUGUUCGGAAUUACUGGGCGUAAAGGGCGCGUAGGCGGCCUUGUAAGUCUCGUGUGAAAGCCCUCGGCUUAACUGAGGAUCUGCACGGGAUACUGCGAGGCUUGAGUUCGGGAGAGGAAAGCGGAAUUCCGGGUGUAGCGGUGAAAUGCGUAGAGAUGCGGAGGAACACCGAUGGCGAAGGCAGCCCCCUGGGCCAACACUGACGCUCAGGCACGAAAGCGUGGGGAGCAAACAGG
rnacentral:rRNA from 1 species